GCCUUGGUGGAACAACUAGCAGGUCGUCCCAGUCUUAUAGUACAAGUCGUCUGCGUAGUCCGUGGGAAGGCGGAGGUUCGAAUCCUCCCCAAGGCA